CGGUAAUACGUAGGUGGCAAGCGUUAUCCGGAAUUAUUGGGCGUAAAGCGCGCGCAGGUGGUUUUUUAAGUCUGAUGUGAAAGCCCCCGGCUCAACCGUGGAGGGUCAUUGGAAACUGGGAGACUUGAGUGCAGAAGAGGAAAGUGGAAUUCCAUGUGUAGCGGUGAAAUGCGUAGAGAUAUGGAGGAACACCAGUGGCGAAGGCGACUUUCUGGUCUGUAACUGACACUGAGGCGCGAAAGCGUGGGGAGCAAACAGGAUUAGAUACCCUGGUAGUCCACGCCGUAAACGAUGAGUGCUAAGUGUUAGAGGGUUUCCGCCCUUUAGUGCGCAAGUUAACGCAUUAAGCACUCCG
rnacentral:rRNA from 1 species